AUCUUCCUAGUAUAAUGCUAGUAUAAGUGACUUCCAAUCACUCAGUCCUGGUUAAACCCCAGGGGAAGAUA
rnacentral:tRNA from 1 species